rnacentral:rRNA from 1 species
CACGUAGGGGACGAGCGUUGUCCGGAUUCAUUGGGCGUAAAGCGCGCGUAGGCGGCUCGGAAAGUCGGGCGUGAAAUGCCGGGACUCAACCCCGGGACUGCGUCCGAUACUUCCGAGCUGGAGGUAGGUAGGGGAGAUCGGAAUUCCUGGUGUAGCGGUGAAAUGCGCAGAUAUCAGGAGGAACACCGGUGGCGAAGGCGGAUCUCUGGGCCUUACCUGACGCUGAGGCGCGAAAGCUAGGGGAGCGAACAGG